AUUGAACGCUGGCGGCAGGCCUAACACAUGCAAGUCGAACGGUAGCACAGAGCGCUUGCUCUUGGGUGACGAGUGGCGGACGGGUGAGUCAUGUCCGGGAAACUGCCCGAUGGAGGGGGAUAACUACUGGAAACGGUAGCUAAUACCGCAUAACGUCUUCGGACCAAAGUGGGGGACCUUCGGGCCUCACACCAUCGGAUGUGCCCAGAUGGGAUUAGCCAGUAGGUGGGGUAAUGGCUCACCUAGGCGACGAUCCCUAGCUGGUCUGAGAGGAUGACCAGCCACACUGGAACUGAGAAACGGUCCAGACUCCUACGGGAGGCAGCAGUGGGGAAUAUUGCACAAUGGGCGCAAGCCUGAUGCAGCCAUGCCGCGUGUAUGAAGAAGGCCUUCGGGUUGUAAAGUACUUUCAGCGGGGAGGAAGGCGGUGGAGUUAAUAGCUUCAUCGAUUGACGUUACCCGCAGAAGAAGCACCGGCUAACUCCGUGCCAGCAGCCGCAGUAA
rnacentral:rRNA from 1 species